rnacentral:misc_RNA from 1 species
AGCAGCCGCGGUAAUUCCAGCUCCAAUAGCGUAUAUUAAAGUUGUUGCAGUUAAAAAGCUCGUAGUUGAAUUUCGGGAUCAAUUAAUUGGUCGUGCCUCUGGUACGUACUGAUUUUAUUGGUUUCUCCCUUCUGACGAACCAUGAUGUCAUUAAUUUGGUGUCGUGGAGAAUCAGGACUGUUACUUUGAAAAAAUUAGAGUGUUUAAAGCAAGCUAACGCUUGAAUACAUUAGCAUGGAAUAAUGAAAUAGGACGUUUGAUCCUAUUUUGUUGGUUUCUAGGAUCGACGUAAUGAUUAAUAGGGAUAGUUGGGGGCAUUAGUAUUCAAUUGUCAGAGGUGAAAUUCUUGGAUUUAUUGAAGACUAACUACUGCGAAAGCAUUUGCCAAGGAUGUUUUCAUUAAUCAAGAACGAAAGUUAGGGGAUCGAAGACGAUCAGAUACCGUCGUAGUCUUAACCAUAAACUAUGCCGACUAGGGAUCGGAUGAUGU